ensembl:lncRNA
AUUGAUCUCUAGCAGAAACUGAUAUUUCCCCCUAUAAGUAGCACUUCUAAAACUAUAUAACUCCCCUUUGGUAACUAAAGUUAUUUUGUAUUUACCCAUUGUGUUACUCGUGUGUCACUAACCUAUUAGCCAUCAUGCCCAUGACCAGAAGCAUCGCCCCAAUCAGAAGACCCAGAAAAGCAAAUGCCAGCAUGCCAAACUUCCACGAUGUUGCUGUGAAACAAAAGAACGGCAUUGAACCAUUUGCGGCCCUUCAGGAAAGUCAAACUCAUCGGUCUCUAAAUCACUUUCUCUUCUGGAUCCUGAGAGAAUCAAUGAAGAUGAGAUAUAUAUUACAGCAUAAUACCAUGAAGAGAUGAAGUGAAGAAGAUGUCACCCGCAUCCAGAGACUUCCAGGUGUCAUGUUCACCCUUGUUCAGUCUGAGUUUUCCUCUCUCAGUGCUCAAUGCCAGAGAGUUUUGCUGACUGAUGAGCUGUUGAGCUUUGCACUGCCAUUUGAUAUGUUCACCAGAAUCACAAGCGAUAGUCUGGACUGGGUCAGUGUGGAUGGCAGAAAGACACCUCAGGGUGCC